AAGGAGUGCUAAUACCGGAUAAUGCAGCGGCACCGCAUGGUGAUGUUGUUAAAGUUUGAGUAAUGCCUAUAGAUGAGCUUGCGCCUGAUUAGCUAGUUGGUAGGGUAAUGGCCUACCAAGGCGACGAUGGGUAGCCGGCCUGAGAGGGUGACCGGCCACACUGGAACUGAGACACGGUCCAGACUCCUACGGGAGGCAGCAGUGAGGAAUAUUGGGCAAUGCCCGCAAGGGUGACCCAGCAACGCCGCGUGGAGGAUGAAGGCCGUAAGGUUGUAAACUCCUGUUAGAGGAGAAGAACAGUACCGAUUGGAUCGGUAUUUGACUGUACCCUCAGAGAAAGCCCCGGCUAACUACGUGCCAGCAGCCGCGGUAAUACGUAGGGGGCAAGCGUUGUCCGGAAUUACUGGGCGUAAAGGGCGCGUAGGCGGAAUGUCAAGUCAGAGGUGAAAUCCUACAGCUUAACUGUAGAACUGCCUUUGAUACUGUUAUUCUUGAGUUCGGGAGAGAGAGACGGAAUUCCAGGUGUAGCGGUGAAAUGCGUAGAUAUUAGGAGGAACACCAGUGGCGAAGGCGGCUUUCUGGACUGUAACUGACGCUGAGGCACGAAAGCGUGGGGAGCAAACAGGAUUAGAUACCCUGGUAGUCCACGCUGUAAACGAUGGAUACUAGGUGUGGGGGAGAUACAACCUCCGUGCCGCAGCUAACGCAAUAAGUAUCCCGCCUGGGGAGUACGGCCGCAAGGCUGAAACUCAAAGGAAUUGACGGGGGCCCGCACAAGCAGUGGAGCAUGUGGUUUAAUUCGAUGCAACGCGAAGAACCUUACCUAGGCUUGACAUACUCGGCGCAAGGCCCUGGAGACAGGGAGAUAGUUAUGGCGGAGACAGGUGGUGCAUGGUUGUCGUCAGCUCGUGUCGUGAGAUGUUGGGUUAAGUCCCGCAACGAGCGCAACCCUUAUCUUUAGUUGCCAUCAUUCAGUUGGGCACUCUAGAGAGACUGCCGGUGACAAACCGGAGGAAGGUGGGGAUGACGUCAAAUCAUCAUGCCCCUUAUGACCUGGGCUACACACGUGCUACAAUGGCCGGUACAAAGGGAGGCGAAGCCGCGAGGUGGAGCAAACCGAAAAAGCUGGUCUCAGUUCGGAUUGUAGGCUGCAACUCGCCUACAUGAAGUUGGAGUUGCUAGUAAUCGCGAAUCAGAACGUCGCGGUGAAUGCGUUCCCGGGUCUUGUACACACCGCCCGUCACACCAUGGAAGUUGAGGGCGCCCGAAGC
rnacentral:rRNA from 1 species